rnacentral:lncRNA from 1 species
AGGAUUUCUCUGUCCAAAUAGUGUAGAUUAGAGUUGGCUUGUCGUUUGGUUCCACCAUCGAGCUUUUGACCGAUAGUUGAAUAAGUUCCUCUGCCAAUUUGGAGACCUUGUCUCCCCCAAACCUGUUGUUGCCACCACUUUCCGUCAUCCCAAGCCGCGGUAGCCACUGUUUUCGCUAGGAUACCAAGGAGAGCACUCUUGGCUACUAGGGUU